rnacentral:rRNA from 1 species
UAGGGAGGGACAUAGGCAAAUCCGUGUCCCACAUAUCCUGAGAGGUGAUGCGUAGCCGUAGCGGCGAAAUCCAUGAUCCUAUGCUGCCGAGAAAAGCCUCUAGCGAGCUGGUACAUGGCCCGUACCCCAAACCGACACAGGUGGUCAGGUAGAGAAUACUAAGGCGAUCGAGAUAACUGUGGUUAAGGAACUCGGCAAAAUGCCCCCGUAACUUCGGGAGAAGGGGGACCAGCCCUGGUGACGACAUUUACUGUUUGAGCUGGGGUUGGUCGCAGAGACCAGAGAGAAGCGACUGUUUACUAAAAACACAGGUCCGUGCGAAGUCGUAAGACGAUGUAUACGGACUGACGCCUCCCCGGUGCUGGAAGGUUAAGAGGACCGGUUAGCUACUUCGGUGGCGAAGCUGAGAAUUUAAGCCCCAGUAAACGGCGGUGGUAACUAUAACCAUCCUAAGGUAGCGAAAUUCCUUGUCGGGUAAGUUCCGACCUGCACGAAUGGCGUAACGACUUCUCUGCUGUCUCAACCACAGACUCGGCGAAAUUGCAGUACGAGUAAAGAUGCUCGUUACGCGCGGCAGGACGAAAAGACCCCGGGACCUUCACUAUAGCUUGGUAUUGGUGUUCGGUUCGGUUUGUGUAGGAUAGGUGGGAGACUGUGAAACCCGCACGCCAGUGUGGGUGGAGUCAUUGUUGAAAUACCACUCUGACCGUAUUGGACUUCUAACCUCGGACCAUGAUCUGGUUCAGGGACAGUGCCUGGUGGGUAGUUUAACUGGGGCGGUUGCCUCCUAAAAAGUAACGGAGGCGCCCAAAGGUUCCCUCAGCCUGGUUGGCAAUCAGGUGUUGAGUGUAAGUGCACAAGGGAGCUUGACUGUGAGACGUACAUGUCGAGCAGGGACGAAAGUCGGGACUAGUGAUCCGGCACCGGCAAGUGGAAGCGGUGUCGCUCAACGGAUAAAAGGUACCCCGGGGAUAACAGGCUGAUCUUCCCCAAGAGUCCAUAUCGACGGGAUGGUUUGGCACCUCGAUGUCGGCUCGUCGCAUCCUGGGGCUGGAGUAGGUCCCAAGGUUGGGCUGUUCGCCCAUUAAAGCGGCACGCGAGCUGGGUUUAGAACGUCGUGAGACAGUUCGGUCUCUAUCCGCCGCGCGCGUAAGAAACUUGAGGAAACCUGUCCCUAGUACGAGAGGACCGGGACGGACGAACCUCUGGUGUGCCAGUUGUUCCACCAGGAGCACCGCUGGUUAGCUACGUUCGGAAGGGAUAACCGCUGAAAGCAUCUAGGCGGGAAGCCUGUUCCAAGAUGAGGUUUCUCACCACCUAGCGUGGUUAAGGCCCCCCA